AAAUGUAAAGUUUUAUUUGGUUUUUGGGUUGUUACAUAUCUUCUCCGUUUUUCUUUUUGUCUCACCGUUGGUCACAAGAAACCAGGUCAAUCGGUUUUCGUCGGCCUAUUCCACCUCCCGCCAAACUCUAGCUUUAUCGAUACCUACACCAGGGAUGGUUGGUUUUCUAGCUACGCUUAACCAACUCUGCUUCUUGCUGUCGUCCUGCUCUGCAUGGAUUCAUUACCGAAGGUGAGGAGCAUGACAUAAAUGGAGCAAUCCGAUGGUUAUGGUUCAAAAUCCAUCUGAUGAAGUUUGCUCCACAUGUGGUAUUCUUCUUUUCCCUUUUCUUGAUUUUUGUUUCAUUCUUGCAAGUUUUAUUAACGAUUUGAUCGUUCUUUUUGGGUGUGUGUGUGUGUCUUGGGGGGGGGGGGGGGGGGGGGGGGGCGCUACUCAUUGUGAGCCCCAAUUUUUGAUUUUGUGGUUCUUUUUGUGGGUUUACGUUGAACCAGAAAUCAGGUUUAACUUUGAAUUUUUCAAAUGAUACAUACUUGAAGAGUUGGAAACAUAAGAGGGGAUUCUACAAAUAAGAACAUGAAAAUAAGGUCAAAUUCUAGGUCAACGUAAAUGUUAAAGGCACCUAUGCAUGAGUUGGUUCCAGGUGAGGGGUAUAAGGAUUCAACUCAAAAAGUGAAGGCUUUCAAAAUGGGGAAAAAUCUGGAUUGGUUUUUGGUCCGAAAUUUGGAUUUCGUUCAACAUAAUUGGUUAAUAAAUGUGGUAUUGUAACUUAUUCCAUCUCUAUAUUUGUAAGAAUUAUAAAUUAUUUUAUUUUGGUGCAUUCUUUUAUGCCUGAUGUAGGAGUUAGAUCAAAUAGUGGCGGCUGUUGUUGCUAAUAUGGUUUCAUCUUCCCGGUGUUGUGAUGUAUCAAAGUCAUUUGGACUUAUCUCCGUGACGGGGUCAUAACAUUUGAUAACUUAUUUCAUGAUAUUCUGGUUGUUAGCUUUUGUAUCAGCAUUUUCUCGGUUAUUGUAAUUUUACAAUUGACUCAUUGGUUAAUAGUAGCCAUUUUAUUAAAAGGUUCUUAAGGUGGCGCUUCAUCAAUGUGUUUUGGAUGUCAAGGUUUUGGAAUGAGGGUGAUGACUAGGCAAAUUGGUCCAAGAAUGAUCUGACAAAUGCCACAUGUUUCUCAUGAAUGCAGAGACUCUUUUAAUUUAAUUAAAUAUUUUCUUUUUAUAAUAUCUAAUUAAAUUUUUUAUUUUUGUAACUUUUGGAAAAUUACAUUUAAUUUAAUAGGAGAACCGAUAAGCGGGAGAGAUAGAUGCCAACGGCAUAAAGGGAAGAUGAUUAAACAGGUGCUUAGACUGCUUGAAGUUCAUGCUGAAAAAAGAAUGCAUAAUGGCCAAAAGAUUGUUUUUUCCAGGAGGUAAACUUAACAUAAAUUUUUUGAUAGAUGUGUACGAUGGGCAAUUCAAUCGAUAGGGACACUUCAGCUACACAAUUAUUAUCAAAAUUAACCAGUCAUAUGUUUGCAACUUGCAGAACUUGGUCGGAAGUGUGCUUCACAAAAAAAAAAAAAAAAACUAUUGGAAAAGUCUAAAUCAGAGCAUUAGGAAUUUAUUUAGCUAAUAACUAGAAAUGGCUAUGUACUUUCAUUUAUUUCAGUAUUGUAGCAUCCUACUUUCAUUCAUUUAUAUUAUAACAUUAUACGUUUA